GAUUUUACAGCUUAAGUCUGAGCAUGAAUUAUUAAGAAGUAUUUUUGUUAUGAUGCGUCACAGAUUUUUGAAGUUAUUAAAAGUUAUAAUGCUUUUAGAGAAUUUUCACCAUUUGAAGGCUUAGUUUUAAGGAACUUAAAGCAAUCACGGGAAGUCUCAACUAACAACAGCCAAACCCUCGUGAAGGAGAAGGUCUUGGCCUCCAGAGUGUGGCCAGUGGCGGGACGCGACAGCACACUCAAGGACAAGCUUGCUUGGGGGUGACUGCACCUCAGAAGGACACCGCUGGCGGAACAGUGACAGAGAUGACAGGUCACUGUCCAGGGGACACAGCACACACGCGUGCGGGCGUGUCUCUGCUGGGCAACAUGGCAGACAAGAUCUGUGUAACUGAGCUGAUGUUUGAAACACAGCAGACGCGGGAAACUCUCCAGGGUGCAAUCCCAGGCUACCUUAGAUGCUCGUCACCAGAUUCUCUGUGUGCCCGGGACGCGCAGGGCAGACGGGCCGGAUCUCAGUGGCCGCAAGUCACAAAGAAUGUGCCGGAGACAGUAGCCCAACUUCUGCCUCUACAGAUGAAGAAAUUGCUCUGCAGACAGCAAGUGGUUUGCUCCUGGCCACAAAAGUAAUUGGCACUCUCUGGCGGCUGCUGUGGAUGAUAAUGAUGGCUGGCCUUCGAAAGUCUGCUUUGGAGCUGACUCUUGAGGAGCAGGGGGUCUGUGUCCUCUCCUUCGGAGGGUCCUGGCCGCAGUGGACGGGGGCCACUCUAAGGACCUCGUCCUGAUUGGGUCACCUGCAGACACCGUUUCCAGAGAAGAUCACGUUCACAGGAUAAGAAGACAGAGAGUUAGGGCCGGAGUGAAUGAAGAACUUUACUCAGACGGCUGCUACUCUCCACCUUAUUGUACCCUGUCGUCCAUACUUCAGAUGAUGUCCGGUGCGUCAGGGCUGCUCAAAGCAAUAAACGGGGUGAAUCACGACGGGAGUGCGGGCCGGGAAGGAUCGAAGACGCACACGAGGCGGCAGAGACGGUGAGAACGCGCACGUGGGGCGCACGGAAAGGGCAGAGGCUGAGGACGGCAUCCGAGCGGGCGGCUCCGGCAGCAGGGACCCCGCUGGACCGCCACCACCCGCGCGGCAAACAGCGCCACCCGCUUGGCAAACCGCGGUGCAAGGCGGGAGAGCCAGGGCCUCCGUCUCUGGAUCUUCGUUCCGAAACUAAGAAAUGAACACACACGAAGUAACGGCAAAACACGCAGGCUCCAUAGGACAGCCCUACACAUGUGAGCCCAUCACACCGCGGACGCACCUGGGUGUGGGCACUGUUCCGGGCGUGGACACCGGCCCCGGGUGUGGACACUGUUCAGGGUGUGGACACCAUCCCCGGGUGUAGACACGGUCCCGGGUGUGGACACUAUCCCAGGUGUGAGCACUGUCCCUGGGUGUGGACACUGUCCCAGGUGUGGACACUAUUCCCAGGUGUGGAUUCCGUCCCGGUGUGGGUUCUGUCCCUGGGUGUAGACACUGUUCCGGGCGUGGACACCGGCCCCAGGUGUGGACACUGUUCAGGGUGUGGACACCAUCCCCAUGUGUGGACAUUGUCCUCAGGUGUGGACUCUGUCCCUGGGUGUGGACACCAUCCCCGGGUGUAGACACUGUCCCGGGUGUGGACGCUGUUCCCAGUGUGGACAUGGCCCCCAUGGAUGGACAUGGUCUUCAUCUGCUGCAGCCCUGGGAGGCAGAUCUGACCCGUGCAGGGGACCAGGUGACAGCACAGUGACCUGAACUCUUCCCUCCGAAUACCCUGAAAUGAGGCAUGGCCCCACACUUUCAACUUCCAGGCUCUGG